rnacentral:ncRNA from 2 species
UUUAUAUUGCUACUCCGAGUGUAAAUUCCUAAGGAUAAAAUCUAGGGAACUGCACCACUGGGUAGACAGGGAAACCGGUCUGCCUCCCGCGUUUGGAAAGGAGCCAAAAAAAGGAGGGG